AGCGAACGCUGGCGGCAGGCUUAACACAUGCAAGUCGAGCGGGCAUCCUUGUGGUGUCAGCGGCAGACGGGUGAGUAACGCGUGGGAACGUGCCCUUCGGUUCGGAAUAACUCAGGGAAACUUGAGCUAAUACCGGAUACGUGCGAGAGCAGAAAGGUUUAUCUGCCGAAGGAUCGGCCCGCGUCUGAUUAGCUAGUUGGUGAGGUUAUGGCUCACCAAGGCGACGAUCAGUAGCUGGUCUGAGAGGAUGAUCAGCCACACUGGGACUGAGACACGGCCCAGACUCCUACGGGAGGCAGCAGUGGGGAAUAUUGGACAAUGGGGGCAACCCUGAUCCAGCCAUGCCGCGUGAGUGAUGGCGGCCUUAGGGUUGUAAAGCUCUUUUCUCCGGGACGAUAAUGACGGUACCGGAGGAAUAAGCCCCGGCUAACUUCGUG
rnacentral:rRNA from 1 species